AUUUUUUAUUUUUUAUUUUUUUGUUGGGUUUUGGAAAAAUUAGAGAGAAGCCUUUGGAAAUGGCAGAUAACAGGAACCGCACUGCUCUACUUGUUAUCGACAUGCAGAAAGAUUUUAUACACGACGACGGUCUGGUGCGAGUGAACGGAGGCAGAGCUAUUGUCCCCAAUGUAAUCAAAGCCGUCCAAGUCGCUAGGCAGCGUGGUUUUCUAAUUGUUUGGGUUGUUCGUGAGCAUGACCCACAAGGGAGAGAUGUUGAACUCUUCCGCCGGCACUUUUAUGCUGCUGGGAAAGUGGGUCCAACUGUUAAGGGAAGUGUGGGUGCGGAACUGGUUGAUGGGCUGGUGAUUAAAGAAGGGGACUAUAAAUUGGUGAAGACGCGCUUUAGUGCAUUCUUUGCUACACACCUCCAUUUUCUUCUUCAGGGUGCUGGAAUUAAUAACUUGGUUAUCACUGGUGUUCAAACUCCAAAUUGCAUCAGACAGACCGUCUUUGAUGCAGUAGCAUUGGAUUAUCAAUCUGUUACUGUUAUUGUUGAUGCCACAGCUGCUGCAACACCUGAUAUACAUGUUGCCAACAUUCUUGACAUGAAGAAUGUCGGAGUUGCGACCCCAACAUUACAGGAAUGGUGCUAGUCGAAUGGUUGAUCUGUCUCGCAACAAAGAAUUUUUGCCCUGUCUGAAGUUCCAUGUUUGUACUCUUGCUUGUGAAAUGCUUUUGGAAGAAAAUGAAGUAAAUCGGGAAGAUUUGGGCUCAAAGAGAGAAGAUGGGAAAAGUGGGAGCCCUUGACACUGCGAUCACAGGUUCCUUGCGAUUGAGUGCAGUACCAGAGAAGACACAUCAUAAAGUAGGCCAUAAGCGCUCGAGCGCACAACAGAAGAGGCUCGAUCGCAGACAUGUGAUCGAGCGUACACGGGUUGCGAUCGAUCGCACCUGUGCGCAGGAGACAUAUCAAAGCUGCGGCCAUAAUGCUAAUAUUUCCAUAUUAGGGUUUUCCAGCUCCCAAUUGUAAUAGGUUUUGAAACCCUACAAAAUUCCUAGGUUUACUAGUUUGUCAAGAACUUCUAAAGCCUAUAAAUAGACCCUUAAGCCUCUAGAGUAGGUAUGCUUGGUAAUGAGAAGAAUUGGAGCUCUUCAAGUUCAAGUUUUGGGUUUAUUCUUUUUCUUUAUUUUAUUUUAUUUUAUUUUAUGAAGAUGUUUAACAUCAACUUCAUGUGUAACUAAUUUAAUUAGUAGGGCUAGAUUGAAGCCCUAGUUAUGUUUUGUUAAUAUUCAAUAUUGGCGCGUUUGUGAUGAUCUUGUUAUGAUAUCUUAUUUGAUUAAUACCUAGUUUUAUGAAUUCCUCAUAUGUGUGUGCCUGAUCAACAUGUGCAUGUUGUAUGGACUAGUUAGUUAAAUCAAUUUGGAUGAUCGAGUCCUAAGUUUAACAUAAGUAACAAAAGUAAUCCACACCGGGUUCUUGGAUUAAUCAACAUGGGGAACCGGGAGUAUACACUCAUGCCCUAGGCCCCAUGUGUUUGUCGAUUUCCACAGAAUAUAUGCUUUCUUAGAGAACAACUUAGUAUACACUAUGCUAAAUCCUAUAGGGAAGAAAAGAGCUAGAAUAUACACCUAUGCCUAACUCGUUGCUUAGGAAAAUCUAUAGCUUAAGGAGUAUACACCCAUGCCUUUAGGUUGAUAAACAUUAGAUAGACAUAACUUGAUCAAAACAUUGGCAUAUUGAUAUAUUAGCUUAAUAUAAUUAGUGGUGGAUAUCAAAGACCUACCUUUUUAUCAUUAUCAAUUUAAUUCCAAUCUCUUGUUUUAUUUUACUUUGGGAAUUGAUUUUAGACAAGAUUCACCGGUCGUCGUGGGAAUGAUCCCAUAUUUGCACACUAUACUACUAUGUUGACCUCGUGCACUUGCGGGUAAAACAUCCGGUUAUUUGCCUAUUAAUUUAGGUAGGUAAAUGUGGAACAACAUAUAUCUUAGGGUUUCGGUCGAGUCUGUGCCAUUUGCCGAGCCUUUCGUUGGUUCGGCUAGCCCAGUCCUUGAUUAUCUCCAUUUUCUUUUUCCUUUGAUCAAACCUGCGCUCGGUCACCUUCGGCUCAGCGUCACCCAUCUUCUGAUUCAGUGAGGUUACCUGUGUAUCCCUCGGUUGCUUAUACCAAGUUUUCUAUAUCUAAUGGGACGAAACGACGGGGAGGAAUUCGAUGGUUUAGGAGAGGCAUGCUUAGCCUUUUGGCGGUCGUCUCUUACAUCUGCCAACGAAGGUCGGAUCAAGAGGAGUUGCUUCAUUCCCUUCUCCGUGGAUCUUUGAUUUGAUGAAGGCCAGAAUGGGGUCGUGGUGCAAGAAGGUGUGCACGAAGUUUGCCUGUAAGAGGCAAUGUUCAGAGUUGGACUUAGAUUUCCCUUCCCGAAGGUUAUUCGAGGCGUUCAGAGCCACUUGAACUUGGCUCCACACCAAAUUGCACCGAACGCUUGGCAGUACUUCUUCACCUGCGUUGCUCUAUGGCCGCUUGUCCUCGAAGAUGAGCAUCUCAUGAUAGCUCGGGAAUUCUUGGGGGUUUACCGCAUUGCGAAGAAUCCCCAAACUUGCCUCUUGUCGUUCGGUUCUUUGUUUAUAUAUUUCUAACUUGUGUUUUUCUCCAGCAUACAAACGUACAGAGCUAUUUGAUGAAGAGGUGGAUAGAGUGAGUCCAAUUCAAGCGUUCGGUCGGAACAAGAAGAACCAUGACUGACUGGAUUAUGGUUACAUGGCCACCAUGGCCAACUUGGAGAAGUAUUUGUGGUACCCCUUGUUGUGAAUUUUAAUUGUACUUGCAAGUGGACGAGUCGUUUGUAAUAUAACUUUUGCAAGUGCGAGGUUGAAUCCACAGGGAAUUAUGUUCGUGUAAAUAAACUUCUAUCUAAAUCGAUUGAACUUUAA